rnacentral:rRNA from 1 species
AAUUGUAUCCGCCGUAAAUCUAAGGUUUCCUACGCGAUGGUCGUCAUCGUAGGGUUAGUCGGGUCCUAAGCCGAGUCCGAAAGGGGUAGGUGAUGGCAAAUUGGUUAAUAUUCCAAUACCGACUAUGGAGCGUGAUGGGGGGACGCAUAGGGUUAAGCGAGCUAGCUGAUGGAAGUGCUAGUCUAAGGGCGUAGAUUGGAGGGAAGGCAAAUCCACCUCUGUAUUUGAAACCCAAACAGGCUCUUUGAGUCCUUUUAGGACAAAGGGAGAAUCGCUGAUACCGUCGUGCCAAGAAAAGCCUCUAAGUAUAUCCAUAGUCGUCCGUACCGCAAACCGACACAGGUAGAUGAGAUGAGUAUUCUAAGGCGCGUGAAAGAACUCUGGUUAAGGAACUCUGCAAACUAGCACCGUAAGUUCGCGAUAAGGUGUGCCGCAGCAAUGCGGUCUCAGCAAAGAGUCCCUCCCGACUGUUUACCAAAAACACAGCACUUUGCCAACUCGUAAGAGGAAGUAUAAGGUGUGACGCCUGCCCGGUGCUCGAAGGUUAAGAGGAUGCGUCAGUCGCAAGAUGAAGCGUUGAAUUGAAGCCCGAGUAAACGGCGGCCGUAACUAUAACGGUCCUAAGGUAGCGAAAUUCCUUGUCGGUUAAAUACCGACCUGCAUGAAUGGCGUAACGAGAUGGGAGCUGUCUCAACCAGAGAUUCAGUGAAAUUGUAGUGGAGGUGAAAAUUCCUCCUACCCGCGGCAAGACGGAAAGACCCCGUGGACCUUUACUACAACUUAGCACUGCUAAUGGGAAUAUCAUGUGCAGGAUAGGUGGGAGGCUUUGAAGUAAGGGCUUUGGCUCUUAUGGAGCCAUCCUUGAG